GCGCUCCUAGCUCAGCUGGAUAGAGCAUCGGAUUUCGAUUCCGAGGGUCGGGAGUUCGAAUCUCUCGGAGCGCG
rfam:Oligotropha carboxidovorans OM5, complete genome.